CCCGCCUUGGCCUCCCAAAAUGCUGGGAUUACAGGCGCAAGUCACCGCGCCCAGCCUUCAAUUUAAUCUUUACUAUAGCCUUGCCUGACAAGUCAUAUGGCAGAACAACAGUGGAGGAGGAGGACGAUAGGACUGUUCUCCAAGAAUCUGGACAUGAGGGAAAUGGAGUGACCUUCAGAAAGUACACCAUUUUGUCAGGCAUGACAACUGGCUUUUCAGCUUCAGGAAUGAAUAUGGACAACUUGAAGGAAGGCUUGCCAAGAUCCCAGUGGAGCCUCAGAUGCAGCAGAUGAUGAGAAGGUUACUGACUUCCUACCCACAUCUGAAGGCAGGGUGUUGCUCCGAGUUGUUUGGCUGUAGUGCGGCCGCGAGCUGCUGCG
rnacentral:lncRNA from 1 species